rnacentral:miRNA from 1 species
GCAGACACAUUCCAGCCAAUCAGUAGCAGACCCUCCCUCCCAGACCCUCCAACCUCCUGGACAGCAUCCAUUUUACAUUCAUUGUGAAGCUGCAUUCUUAGUGAGCUGUCCAGGAGGUGGGAGGGUCUGGGAGGGAGGGUCUGCUGCUGAUUGGCUGGAAUGUGUCUG